rnacentral:lncRNA from 1 species
CCCCCUUGUAUUUUGGAAUAACUGGAUCUCCAAGAUGUGCUCCAAUAGAAUAUGGCUACUACCUACAGUUCUGCCCGAGGAGGAUUAGUUGAUCUCAAUGCAAAACAAGUAGUUUAGGAAAAUUGUCAUCUAACCUUUCAAACAAUAACUUGUGAAGACGAAAACCUCGGAGCUAACAUUAAAAAUAAAGACAAAACCCUAAGUAAUAAUAAAAAAACUAACAACUAAAUCAAAUUGACAAGGUAGAAAAACACCAUUGAGAAAUCAACUAAAUAUAUACCUUGAUUCACUAUAAUAAAUUUGAUAAUGGAAAUAUAUAAAAAUACAUAUUGCAUAAUGAAAUCAAAUUUACAUAAAAAUGAACAUACUAAACAAUAGAAAACUUAUCUUUCUCUUUC